rnacentral:rRNA from 1 species
GACGAACGCUGGCGGCGUGCUUAACACAUGCAAGUCGAACGGUAAGGCCCUUCGGGGUACACGAGUGGCGAACGGGUGAGUAACACGUGGGUGAUCUGCCCUGCACUUCGGGAUAAGCCUGGGAAACUGGGUCUAAUACCGGAUAGGACCACUGCCUGCAUGGGUGGUGGUGGAAAGCUUUUGCGGUGUGGGAUGGGCCCGCGGCCUAUCGGCUUGUUGGUGGGGUGAUGGCCUACCAAGGCGACGACGGGUAGCCGGCCUGGGAGGGUGGAGUGCCCCCCUGGGAAUGCGCUCCGGCCCAGACUCCUACGGGAGGCAGCAGUGGGGAAUAUUGCACAAUGGGCUCACGCCUGAUGCGGCGACGCCGCGUGAGGGAUGACGGCCGUCCUUUUGUAAACCUCUUUCAGCACCGACGAAGCGAAAGUGACGGUUGUUGCAGAAGAAGGACCGGCCAACUACGUGCCAGCCGCCGCGGUAA